AUACGGAGGGUGCAAGCGUUAUUUGGAAUCACUGGGCGUAAAGGACGCGUAGGCGGGUUGGCAAGUCAGAUGAGAAAUCCUACAGCUUAACUGUAGAACUGCAUUUGAAACUGCUAACCUAGAGUAUGGGAGGGGGAGAUGGAAUUAGUGGUGUAGGGGUAAAAUCCGUAGAUAUCACUAGGAAUACCGAAAGCGAAGGCGAUCUCCUGGAACAUAACUGACGCUAAGGCGUGAAAGCGUGGGGAGCAAACAGGAUUAGAAACCCCAGCAGUCC
rnacentral:rRNA from 1 species